UACGUAGGGUGCAAGCGUUGUCCGGAAUUAUUGGGCGUAAAGAGCUCGUAGGCGGUCUGUUGCGUCGGCUGUGAAAACCCGGGGCUCAACUCCGGGCCUGCAGCCGAUACGGGCAGACUAGAGUUCGGCAGGGGAGACUGGAAUUCCUGGUGUAGCGGUGAAAUGCGCAGAUAUCAGGAGGAACACCGGUGGCGAAGGCGGGUCUCUGGGCCGAUACUGGCGCUGAGACGCGAAAGCGUGGGGAGCAAACAGG
rnacentral:rRNA from 1 species